rnacentral:rRNA from 1 species
GGGGAAUAUUGCACAAUGGGGGAAACCCUGAUGCAGCAACGCCGCGUGAGUGAUGAAGGUCUUCGGAUCGUAAAGCUCUGUCUUCAGGGACGAUAAUGACGGUACCUGAGGAGGAAGCCACGGCUAACUACGUGCCAGCAGCCGCGGUAAUACGUAGGUGGCGAGCGUUGUCCGGAUUUACUGGGCGUAAAGGGAGCGUAGGCGGACUUUUAAGUGAGAUGUGAAAUACCCAGGCUCAACCUGGGGGCUGCAUUUCAAACUGGAAGUCUAGAGUGCAGGAGAGGAGAGUGGAAUUCCUAGUGUAGCGGUGAAAUGCGUAGAGAUUAGGAAGAACACCAGUGGCGAAGGCGACUCUCUGGACUGUAACUGACGCUGAGGCUCGAAAGCGUGGGGAGCAAAC